CAAUAGCGUAUAUUUAAGUUGUUGCAGUUAAAAAGCUCGUAGUUGGAUUUCGGAUGGGACUUGCCGGUCCGUCGUUUCGAUGUGCACUGGCCAGUCCUAUCUUGUUGUCGGGGACUAGCUCCUGGGCUUCACUGUCCGGGACUAGGAGCUGACGAGGUUACUUUGAGUAAAUUAGAGUGUUCAAAGCAAGCCUACGCUCUGAAUACAUUAGCAUGGAAUAACACGAUAGGACUCUGGCUUAUCUUGUUGGUCUGUGAGACCAGAGUAAUGAUUAAGAGGAACAGUUGGGGGCAUUCGUAUUUCAUUGUCAGAGGUGAAAUUCUUGGAUUUAUGAAAGACGAACUUCUGCGAAAGCAUUUGCCAAGGAUGUUUUCAUUAA
rnacentral:rRNA from 1 species